rnacentral:lncRNA from 1 species
GCCUGUGGCUGCUUUGUGUUCACGGAGGACUUGAAUUCAAGGGCACGCAGUGGGAGUCCUCUCACGCACAAAUCGCCUUCUCUCUCCAUAUGCUCGGGUCGCUCUCACCCAUUCAGUAUUUCAGGAAAAGAUUUCAAAGUGCUGGUGUGAUCCAGGAGUACAGAUCUCGGUUUGAGAGAUGGCUAUCUCGUUUCCCUAAAGGAGAACAGAUCAUGGUUUCUCUUCCCAAGGACACCCAUGCGCCUGUGUGCAGGAAGGAAACAUCUGUGGAGGUGAGCAGGGGUGGUGGGGAGCCUUUGUUCUCUGCUGGUUUGUGGGAAUUUAUUGCAAGACACUGGAAUGCUUCAUAUAAAGUGAGCACUAUGCUAAUGUCCUGAUACUCAGGAGUACUUCAGGACUGGGGUUUUCAAUUUGUUUUACUUGUUAAUUGGAGGGCUCAGAGCUGCACCUGCACUUCACCUGAGUGGUAGCCAUCAGCCUCCCUUGGAGACCAGGCCUGUGUCCAAUGCAGGCCAUUUCCAGAGGACAUUGCAGGACCUGGAAGGCAUCAACACUCUGUGUGAGUGGCACCCACACACUGUGUGACACCCACACGUCAUGCAGCACCACCAAGCCACGUGGCAUGAAUGGUGGACCCAGGACCUCUGUAUAUUCCCAGCCUCUCCUCUCCCCAGGGACUAUUGCCCUCAUUAUCCAAUAGAUUAUGGAGUUGAUCCAAAAUGCUUACAGUGCCAAAGGGCCUAUUCAAGAUAACAGAGACCCUGAAUCCUACCUGUCAAGACUGGCUCUUAACAAAUGUCUCCUUGGAAGUCAGAGCUAUGGGCCUAAUCUGGCAGUCACUGCCUUCGGGUUAUUUCCUUGGAGAAGCCCAGAUUUGUCAGUAAGAGGAUGGCAGAAGGGAAUUCUGAGGCAUUUCUAAUCCCAAUUGCCAUAGAUUGUAAGAGGAUUUGUAAUGUUUCUGCUGUUUGAAUAUGUGUCUUUUUUUUUUCUUUUUUUUUAUUUUUAUCUUGUUCUGGUGUUUUCCCCAUUAUUAUUUUUUUUUUCUGAGUAGAAAUGCAUAUAUAGGAAAGAAUACUCUGAUUUAUGUAAUUGAUCAGAAAGUGAACAACAACAAAAGACAAAUCAAUUAGGGACUGACCCCAUUCUGAAGUAAUUCCAGGAUUACAGAUGUUCCCUGGUGCCCCUUUGGUAUCUCUUUUCCAGUCCUGAUAGCUCUAUUACACGUAGGCAAUUUCUUCAUUCCCUGCAUGUAAUGUCUGAGAUGAAACACUAUUAAAUAUAAUCCAACAUGUUUAGGAGACGCAGUCUGCCACAGUGCUGGUGUCUAUAAUGACGAAAGCAUUUAAGAAUGGCACUGAAAAACAGAACUCCCCUUUUCCAAGUGUGGCACACCAGUGAUGGCUCAGUGAUGGUUCUGUUAAAAUGAAGCUCUGUGCCUGACUUAAAAAUUAGGCAUCUGGGAUAGUACUCAUUUCCAGAUUUUUUUUUUUUCUUUUCUACUGUCUGAAAAUAGCCUCUAACUUUACUAUGAUGAUUUAAAAAUACACCAGAAAUGUAUUUUCCUGCAGAGCUAUUCAUUCUGCCUUAAGAAUAUAGAGAAAACAGAUGGGACUCAUUUUCUCUUACUUGGUCCAAACAAUUCAACAGGUGGGUUAUUUUCCUUACCAGCGGUUGGACUCCCCACUGUUCUUAAUUGGAUUAUUUGGAUAAAUAAACUGAUCUAGCUUUGGCCCUUUAUUAAUCA